GAUGAAGAACGCAGCGAAAUGCGAUAAGUAAUGUGAAUUGCAGAAUUCAGUGAAUCAUCGAAUCUUUGAACGCACAUUGCGCCCGCCAGUAUUCUGGCGGGCAUGCCUGUUCGAGCGUCAUUUCAACCAUCAAGCCCCCGGCUUGUGUUGGGGACCUGCGGCUGCCGCAGGCCCUGAAAACCAGUGGCGGGCUCGCUAGUCACUCCGAGCGUAGUAAUACAUCUCGCUCAGGGCGUGCUGCGGGUUCCGGCCGUUAAAAAGCCGUAUUUACCCAAGGUUGACCUCGGAUCAGGUAGGAAGACCCGCUGAACUUAAGCAUAUCAAUAAGCGGAGGA
rnacentral:misc_RNA from 1 species